rnacentral:rRNA from 1 species
GUGAGGAAUAUUGUGCAAUGGAGGCAACUCUGACGCAGCCAUGCCGCGUGCAGGAAGAAGGCGCUACGCGUUGUAAACUGCUUUUAACCGGGAAGAAACCCCAGGACGUGUCCUGGGUUGACGGUACCGGAGGAAUAAGCACCGGCUAACUUCGUGCCAGCAGCCGCGGUAAUACGAAGGGUGCAAGCGUUAUCCGGAUUCAUUGGGUUUAAAGGGUGCGUAGGCGGAGCGUUAAGUCAGUGGUGAAAUCCUGCAGCUUAACUGUAGACUUGCCAUUGAUACUGGCGCUCUUGAGUGCGCUUGAAGUGGGCGGAAUGUGCCGUGUAGCGGUGAAAUGCUUAGAUAUGGCACAGAACACCAAUUGCGAAGGCAGCUCACUAAGGCGAUACUGACGCUGAGGCACGAAAGCGUGGGGAUCGAACAGGAUUAGAUACCCGUGUAGUCC